rnacentral:rRNA from 1 species
CCUAGCUUGCUAGGUGGAUUAGUGGCGCACGGGUGAGUAAUAUAUAGAUAACGUGCCCCUUAGUCUGGGAUAGCCAUUGGAAACGAUGAUUAAUACUAGAUACUCCUUCUAACUCUAAUGUUAGUCGGGAAAGUUUUUCGCUAAGAGAUCGGUCUAUAUCCCAUCAGCUAGUUGGUAGUGUAAGAGACUACCAAGGCAAUGACGGGUAGCGGGUUUGAGAGGAUGAUCCGCCACACUGGUACUGAGACACGGACCAGACUCCUACGGGAGGCAGCAGUGAGGAAUAUUGCACAAUGGAGGAAACUCUGAUGCAGCAACGCCGCGUGGAGGAUGACGCAUUUCGGUGUGUAAACUCCUUUUAUAUGUCAAGAAAAUGACGGUAGCAUAUGAAUAAGCACCGGCUAACUCCGUGCCAGCAGCCGCGGUAAUACGGAGGGUGCAAGCGUUAUUCGGAAUCACUGGGCGUAAAGGACGCGUAGGCGGGAUGC